GGUUAAGCGACUAAGCGUACACGGUGGAUGCCCUGGCAGUCAGAGGCGAUGAAGGACGUGCUAAUCUGCGAAAAGCGCCGGCGAGGUGAUAUGAACCUUUGACCCGGCGAUGUCCGAAUGGGGAAACCCAGUGCAAUCCGUUGCACUAUCGUUAACUGAAUACAUAGGUUAACGAGGCGAACCGGGGGAACUGAAACAUCUAAGUACCCCGAGGAAAAGAAAUCAACCGAGAUUCCCCCAGUAGCGGCGAGCGAACGGGGAGCAGCCCGGAGUCUGAAUCAGCUUGUGUGUUAGUGGAACGGUCUGGAAAGUCCGACGGUACAGGGUGAUAGUCCCGUACACGAAAGCACACUUGCUGUGAACUCGAAGAGUAGGGCGGGACACGUGGUAUCCUGUCUGAAUAUGGGGGGACCAUCCUCCAAGGCUAAAUACUCCUGACUGACCGAUAGUGAACCAGUACCGUGAGGGAAAGGCGAAAAGAACCCCGGCGAGGGGAGUGAAAAAGAACCUGAAACCGUGUACGUACAAGCAGUGGGAGCCUCUUUAUGGGGUGACUGCGUACCUUUUGUAUAAUGGGUCAGCGACUUAUAUUCUGUAGCAAGGUUAACCGUAUAGGGGAGCCGAAGGGAAACCGAGUCUUAACUGGGCGUUAAGUUGCAGGGUAUAGACCCGAAACCCGGUGAUCUAGCCAUGGGCAGGUUGAAGGUUGGGUAACACUAACUGGAGGACCGAACCGACUAAUGUUGAAAAAUUAGCGGAUGACCUGUGGCUGGGGGUGAAAGGCCAAUCAAACCGGGAGAUAGCUGGUUCUCCCCGAAAGCUAUUUAGGUAGCGCCUCGUGAACUCAUCUUCGGGGGUAGAGCACUGUUUCGGCUAGGGGGCCAUCCCGGCUUACCAACCCGAUGCAAACUACGAAUACCGAAGAAUGUUAUCACGGGAGACACACGGCGGGUGCUAACGUCCGUCGUGAAGAGGGAAACAACCCAGACCGCCAGCUAAGGUCCCAAAGUCAUGGUUAAGUGGGAAACGAUGUGGGAAGGCACAGACAGCCAGGAUGUUGGCUUAGAAGCAGCCAUCAUUUAAAGAAAGCGUAAUAGCUCACUGGUCGAGUCGGCCUGCGCGGAAGAUGUAACGGGGCUAAACCAUGCACCGAAGCUGCGGCAGCGACACUAUGUGUUGUUGGGUAGGGGAGCGUUCUGUAAGCCGUUGAAGGUGUGCUGUGAGGCAUGCUGGAGGUAUCAGAAGUGCGAAUGCUGACAUAAGUAACGAUAAAGCGGGUGAAAAGCCCGCUCGCCGGAAGACCAAGGGUUCCUGUCCAACGUUAAUCGGGGCAGGGUGAGUCGACCCCUAAGGCGAGGCCGAAAGGCGUAGUCGAUGGGAAACAGGUUAAUAUUCCUGUACUUGGUGUUACUGCGAAGGGGGGACGGAGAAGGCUAUGUCAGCCGGGCGACGGUUGUCCCGGUUUAAGCAUGUAGGCGGAGGUUCCAGGUAAAUCCGGUACCUUAUUAACGCUGAGGUGUGAUGACGAGGCACUACGGUGCUGAAGUGAUAAAUGCCCUGCUUCCAGGAAAAGCCUCUAAGCAUCAGGUAACACGAAAUCGUACCCCAAACCGACACAGGUGGUCAGGUAGAGAAUACCAAGGCGCUUGAGAGAACUCGGGUGAAGGAACUAGGCAAAAUGGUGCCGUAACUUCGGGAGAAGGCACGCUGAUGUGUAGGUGAAGCCCCUGCGGGCGGAGCUGAAAUCAGUCGAAGAUACCAGCUGGCUGCAACUGUUUAUUAAAAACACAGCACUGUGCAAACACGAAAGUGGACGUAUACGGUGUGACGCCUGCCCGGUGCCGGAAGGUUAAUUGAUGGGGUUAGCGGCAACGCGAAGCUCUUGAUCGAAGCCCCGGUAAACGGCGGCCGUAACUAUAACGGUCCUAAGGUAGCGAAAUUCCUUGUCGGGUAAGUUCCGACCUGCACGAAUGGCGUAAUGAUGGCCAGGCUGUCUCCACCCGAGACUCAGUGAAAUUGAACUCGCUGUGAAGAUGCAGUGUACCCGCGGCAAGACGGAAAGACCCCGUGAACCUUUACUAUAGCUUGACACUGAACACUGGUCCUUGAUGUGUAGGAUAGGUGGGAGGCUUUGAAGCGUGGACGCCAGUCUGCGUGGAGCCAACCUUGAAAUACCACCCUUUAAUGGCUGGUGUUCUAACGUAGACCCGUAAUCCGGGUUGCGGACAGUGUCUGGUGGGUAGUUUGACUGGGGCGGUCUCCUCCCAAAGAGUAACGGAGGAGCACGAAGGUUGGCUAAUCCUGGUCGGACAUCAGGAGGUUAGUGCAAUGGCAUAAGCCAGCUUGACUGCGAGCGUGACGGCGCGAGCAGGUGCGAAAGCAGGUCAUAGUGAUCCGGUGGUUCUGAAUGGAAGGGCCAUCGCUCAACGGAUAAAAGGUACUCCGGGGAUAACAGGCUGAUACCGCCCAAGAGUUCAUAUCGACGGCGGUGUUUGGCACCUCGAUGUCGGCUCAUCACAUCCUGGGGCUGAAGUAGGUCCCAAGGGUAUGGCUGUUCGCCAUUUAAAGUGGUACGCGAGCUGGGUUUAGAACGUCGUGAGACAGUUCGGUCCCUAUCUGCCGUGGGCGCUGGAGAAUUGAGGGGGGCUGCUCCUAGUACGAGAGGACCGGAGUGGACGCAUCACUGGUGUUCGGGUUGUCAUGCCAAUGGCACUGCCCGGUAGCUAAAUGCGGAAGAGAUAAGUGCUGAAAGCAUCUAAGCACGAAACUUGCCCCGAGAUGAGUUCUCCCUGAGACCUUGAGUCUCCUGAAGGAACGUUGAAGACGACGACGUUGAUAGGUCGGGUGUGUAAGCGCAGCGAUGCGUUGAGCUAACCGAUACUAAUGAACCGUGAGGCUUAACCUU
rnacentral:rRNA from 1 species